rnacentral:rRNA from 1 species
UGGGGAAUAUUGCACAAUGGGCGAAAGCCUGAUGCAGCCAUGCCGUGUGUGUGAAGAAGGCCUUAGGGUUGUAAAGCACUUUCAGCGAGGAGGAAAGGUUGUUAGUUAAUACCUGACAGCUGUGACGUUACUCGCAGAAGAAGCACCGGCUAACUCCGUGCCAGCAGCCGCGGUAAUACGGAGGGUGCGAGCGUUAAUCGGAAUUACUGGGCGUAAAGCGUGCGUAGGCGGCUACUUAAGUUGGAUGUGAAAGCCCCGGGCUCAACCUGGGAACUGCAUCCAAAACUGAGUGGCUAGAGUGCGAGAGAGGAGUGUGGAAUUUCCUGUGUAGCGGUGAAAUGCGUAGAUAUAGGAAGGAACACCAGUGGCGAAGGCGACACUCUGGCUUGACACUGACGCUGAGGUACGAAAGCGUGGGGAGCAAACAGGAUUAGAUACCCUGGUAGUCCACGCCGUAAACGAUGUCUACUAGUUGUCCGUUGUCUUGUACGAUGGGUAACGCAGCUAACGCGAUAAGUAGACCGCCUGGGGAGUACGGCCGCAAGGUUAAAACUCAAAUGAAUUGACGGGGGCCCGCACAAGCGGUGGAGCAUGUGGUUUUAUUCGAAGCAACGCGAAGAACCUUACCUGGCCUUGACAUCCUGCGAACUUUCUAGAGAUAGAUUGGUGCCUUCGGGAGCGCAGAGACAGGUGCUGCAUGGCUGUCGUCAGCUCGUG